rnacentral:rRNA from 1 species
UGGGGAAUAUUGCGCAAUGGGGGAAACCCUGACGCAGCGACGCCGCGUGUGGGAUGAAGGUCUUCGGAUUGUAAACCACUGUCGCGAGGGACGAAGCUCUGACGGUACCUCGAAAGGAAGCACCGGCUAACUCUGUGCCAGCAGCCGCGGUAAUACAGAGGGUGCGAGCGUUGUCCGGAAUCACUGGGCGUAAAGGGCGCGUAGGCGGCCCGGUAAGUAGGGGGUGAAAUCUCAUGGCUCAACUGUGAGGCUGCCUUCUAGACUGCCAGGCUUGAGCACAGUAGAGGCGAGUGGAAUUCCCGGUGUAGCGGUGGAAUGCGUAGAGAUCGGGAAGAACAUCGGUGGCGAAGGCGGCAUCCUGGACCAAUUCUGACGCUGAGGAGCGAAAGCCAGGGGAGCAAACGGGAUUAGAUACCCACGUAGUCCCUGAGCGGGCUGGCAAGGCGCAU